UUUUUCAAAACUUGACAACCAUAUACUAAAACUGGAACGAUUCAGAGAAGAUUAGCCUGGCCCCUGUGCAAGGAUGACAUGCAAAUUCAGAAUGUUCCAUGACUUUUA
rnacentral:snRNA from 1 species